rnacentral:lncRNA from 1 species
AUGGCACCGAGGCUGCGGGGGCUGCGGGGCCGCGCGGCUCGCCGGGCUCCGGGGCUCCCGGCGGAGCAGGGGCGCAGCUCGGCGGCCGCGGCGCCUCCGGGGCUCGGACGCCGCCCCCGCGCUCGCCGCCGCCGCGCCCCCCUCGGCGCCCCGCGCCCCGCGCCCCGCCGGCCCCGCGCGCCAACUUCUGCCCCGCGAGCCCAACUUGUGCGCGGGGCGCGCCGCCGGGGUCCCCGGCCACUCGGGCUGCGCCGCCUGCGCGCUCCUGCCGCCGCCCGCAGCGCCCUGCAGCUCCGCUCGGCCGGUGAAGAAUGCCGAAUAGGUGUUGUCGAAAGGGCAGAGGAGAAGUCUAUGAGAGGAGUCGUAAGAAUUAAAGUGUGCCAGAUGGAAAGAUCCAGUACUACACCACCUACAGACAAGCGUACCACAUGGAGCAACAGCCCGUCUACAAGUGCUGCCCUGGUUGGAGCCAGUGGGACAAUGAACCUGGCUGCCUAUGCUGCGGUGGGAACAUGUUUCAAAGGAAGGAGGUGCUCAGACGGCGAGGCCCAGCAGAGCCAGUAUUCAGAGGGUUUUCAAGGCCCCCACUGUCAAUAUGAACUCCAUGAAGAGGUCUUGGGCUAA